UUUUAUUUUUAGAUUCUUUUAUUGUAUUGAUUCAACAAACAUUUCAGCAUAAACACCAUUUUUGGAUCAAACAGGAGACAUGGUAAUUCUCUGUUCCAAGAGGUCUUAGUAUCUGCUACGAUUUUACUUGUGACACUUCUUCUCUGGCUAUUUGCACCGCCAAAUUUUCUCAUUGGCCGUGAGCUCCUACUGAUCGACAAAAGGCUUCAUUGUUCUGAACCGUGUAUGGCACUAUGAAUGUCAUCUGAAAAAAGUCCUUUCCGACAGCCUCGCCCUUUCUCCGCG